UACGAAGGGAGCUAGCGUUGUUCGGAAUCACGGGGCGUAAAGCGCACGUAGGCGGAUUUGCCAGUCAGGGGUGAAAUCCCGGGGCUCAACCUCGGAACUGCCUUUGAUACAGCAAGUCUUGAGUUCGAGAGAGGUGGGAGGAAUUCCUAGUGUAGAGGUGAAAUUCGUAGAUAUUAGGAAGAACACCGGUGGCGAAGGCGGCCCACUGGCUCGACACUGACGCUGAGGCGCGAAAUCUAGGGGAGCAAACG
rnacentral:rRNA from 1 species